UGCGAGCGUUGUCCGGAAUUAUUGGGCGUAAAGAGCUCGUAGGCGGUGUGUCGCGUCGGCCGUGAAAACCUGCAGCUUAACUGUGGGCUUGCGGUCGAUACGGGCAUCACUGGAGUUCGGCAGGGGAGACUGGAAUUCCUGGUGUAGCGGUGAAAUGCGCAGAUAUCAGGAGGAACACCGGUGGCGAAGGCGGGUCUCUGGGCCGAUACUGACGCUGAGGAGCGAAAGCGUGGGGAGCGAACAGG
rnacentral:rRNA from 1 species